rnacentral:ncRNA from 2 species
CGGGUCGAGAGGCGCUGCAACGGACCACGGGUCCGCCACGCUCGACCCGGUAUGUAGUACGGCUGUAAGGGCGCCUCCCAUGA